AUGGGGGAAACCCUGACGCAGCAACGCCGCGUGGGCGACGAAGGUCUUCGGAUUGUAAAGCCCUGUCUUCUGGGACGAUAAUGACGGUACCAGAGGAGGAAGCCACGGCUAACUACGUGCCAGCAGCCGCGGUAAUACGUAGGUGGCAAGCGUUGUCCGGAAUUACUGGGCGUAAAGGGUGCGUAGGCGGAUAUUUAAGUGGGAUGUGAAAUACCUGAGCUCAACUCGGGUGCUGCAUUCCAAACUGGAUAUCUAGAGUGCAGGAGAGGAGAAUGGAAUUCCUAGUGUAGCGGUGAAAUGCGUAGAGAUUAGGAAGAACACCAGUGGCGAAGGCGAUUCUCUGGACUGUAACUGACGCUGAGGCACGAAAGCGUGGGUAGCAAACAGGAUUAGAUACCCUGGUAGUCCACGCCGUAAACUAUGAAUACUAGGUGUAGGGGGGAACCUCCCUCUGUGCCGCAGUUAACACAAUAAGUAUUCCGCCUGGGGAGUA
rnacentral:rRNA from 1 species